UAAGAGAUUUCUUUUAUCGAGCUUAGGCAGUAAUAGUAUCUCCCCAAAACAAACAAUUCCAACUCUUCCUCCGUUGAAACCAACAUCUCUCUUCCUCCAUUAACAGAUCUAACUCUCAUCCUCCAUGGAAACUAUCAUUUCAUUGUUGUGUGUACCAGUUACUGUAAUAUAUGGAAAUUGAAGUCAGGAAAUCUAAUUUCAGAAAUUGUUAGGGGAUUCUCGAUUUCAAUUUCAGUUUUCCGAAAUUAUUAGAUCGCGAGUAUAGAAUUUAAUGGAAAUUGUUUUGGAUAAUAGGUAUCCAAAAGUGGUAGAAGAAGAUGAGAUUGUUGUUUAUGUUCUAUAGUCCUUUGUCAAGGAAGCUUUGUUGUGGUUGAUGAAAGAGGGAUAGAGGAAGCUAUUGAGGCUGGCAGUAGUCAGAUUAGCAAAUUGGUGAUUGAGACUUGGUUCAGUUGCUGGAGAAGCAAAGUAGCAAUCGAUGAACUUCAACUGUUAUGGGCAGCGCUGAAAGUUGCUAGUGCAAGACUGGAUUGAUACAACGAGGGAAGUUUUACAGGGGCAAGGAUCUUCUUGUCUGGUUCUAGUCUUCGAACUGAAGAUAGAACUAGAUGGCCAAAUUGAACAAGCACCUCCAUCAUCAGUAUUCUGUCCAGGACCUGAAGACAUGGAAGGUUUCCAGUUCCUUAUUAUCUUAGUUGCACCUCGUCCGGUAAUUUCCCCUGCUAUUGAUCAGUACUGUUGCUGCCCCGACGGAUGAAGAUGGAAAGGGUGGUGGUGUUCUGGUUGGGCAGGUGAUCAAUUGGCCGAAACAGCCAAGCUUUUUUGGCAAUAGACUAGGUUUUUCUGUUUGUUUGUUUCUUUUUCCCCCUAUUUGUUUGUUUUAAUUGGACAAAGAAUUUAUAUGGGAUUGAAAUUUAUCAAUAUAUGUCAAGUUAAAAAUAUUUCUUGA